rnacentral:lncRNA from 1 species
UUGGCUCCUCUGUUAGCUUUAUUGCAUGGUUCUUGCCUUCUUGGUAGUGAUGGCUUUGCUGCCUGCAUCCCUGUGGAAUGACUCCGUGUUUUCAUUUGCAUUUAUUCACCUUUUCCUGUCUGCCUUUUUUCCCUCUGUGGAUGAUGAUGAUGUGCAUGAAAAUUCUAGAUCUUGAUAUUUUUAAGAAUUUUAUUUAGCUAAUUUUUCUUUCCUUUUCUUUUCUCUGUUUUCCUUUUUGUGUUGUGCUAUGUCACAUAUUUUUCAUAUUUUUUUU